rfam:Gossypium hirsutum cultivar TM-1 chromosome 9, whole genome shotgun sequence
AUUCCAUGAUGAGGACAUUUUUGUAAUAGUUCUUUAAAUCUUUCUCAUGCCUCAUACAAGGACUUGUCAUCCAUCUGUUGGAAAGUAGUGAUUCCAUUCUGCAACU